rnacentral:lncRNA from 1 species
CACUUUAUUUUCCACUUUCCCUUGACAUUGUCAUCUUCAAGAGUGCUCCCUGAUUGCUGCCAUUGGAACUCGAAGCUCCGUUCCCUUCUUCUUUGGGUGGUGUUCAAGCUAAAUCCAUGGUGGAUCUUAGUUGAAUUCUUAAUAUCAGCUUCACUCUUCUCAGGUGAGAAAUGUUGCAUUUGUAAGAUCUUCUUCUGUGUUUUCAAAAGUAAAAUCUUCCUCCCGUUUUUCGUCAGGUAGUCUUGGGUCUGCAAAAGACCAGCUUUCCAGAUGCUGGAACGUCUCCCUAUCCCUACCUUUUGGUGAUCUUCCAGGCAUACUGUUAAACCCUCCUUUCUAUGCUCUUUAAUUUCCUUUGUUGCUGCUGCUACCUGUUGCACUCUGUUAUAUUUGUACAUAUGCAUGCUACUUACUAUGUUGAUUAUUACUGAACUAUUGAUCCUUGUCAAUGUUUAGAAGCCACCUUGUUUUCACUGUUACCUGUUGGUAUGAGUGGUAUUCUUGCAUGUCUUGUGUCUCUAUUAUUGCAUUUGCCAAAGAGUCGGGCACUGAGUUGCCUUCUCUAAAUAUAUGAAAGUACAAUCCUAAUCUCCUCAAUGACACCAACCAGUUCCCAAGGAAUUUUCCAUUGCUUUAGAAUCAUGUGCUUAAGACUUAGAGAAUCUGUCUCUAUGAUGAACUUUGUAUAAAGUUUCUCAUGACAGUAUUCUAAGGCUUCCUUAAUAUCAGUGGAUUCAUCUUCUGUAUUUGUCCCAAGUCCUAAUCCCUUAGCUCUUGCAUAUACCAGAUCCCCUCUUUCAUUUCUUAUGAAAAAAUCAUAUGAGCUCAUCCCCGGAUUCCCUCUACAUGCUCCAUCUAUAUUGCAUUUUAGUUAUAAAUGCUCAGGCUUUUUCCAUACCACUUGAUGAUAAUGAAGUUGUGGUUUGUAUGUGCUCAUAGUGUCCACCACCUCUGGUCAUGUCCAGUUCUACAGUUUUAUCCAAGGAUAAAGAUUCUUGAUCAGUUUCUUUAUCACUUUUUGUAUCUGUAUUAUUAUCCCCUUAAAAGAAAUGAACCCUCCAUGUUUAAAAGAAUUUCUCCUUUUCCAUAAGAUCCACAUGAUUAUGGCUGGUAUGGCUUUACAGAUGCUGUUGAGUUUUAGUGUUGAUUCCUUUGUCCGCCAUGACACAACCAUAUGUUGAAGUUGUACAUUGUCCAUCCUGAUCCCUGCAAUGAACAAACUGCCUCCAUAGCUUUAAAGUUAUGGGAGCUGUUAGUAAAACAUGUGACAUAGUUUCCUCCUUUUUGUCCUCACAACACCAGUAUCUUGACACCAAAUGAAUCCUCAUUCUCCUCAAAUUAUCAUCUGUAGGGAUCCUUUUGAGCCACACUCUCUAUAAGAAGAAAUUAUAUUUAAAAGGUAGACCUUUAUUCCAAAUAUAAUCAAAAUCUCUUCUUUUCUCUUUUUUCUUCUGAAUUACCUCCCAGGAAGAUUUCAACGAAAAUUGGCCAUUUGUAUUUUCCAUCCACCAUGGUCUAUCAUUAUGAUGCCCUUCAACCUUAGGCUUUACUGUCUGAAGAAUUAGCUCCACCAUCUCUUUCGAUAAAGAUCUUCACCUCUAUUUCUUCAUUUUGAAAAGUCUCUCCUUCCACAUAAUAUAAAACACCCUAUUUGGUCCAAUUAUCAUACCAAAAACUUGAGUUCCCAACUGUAACCUGCCACCAAAUGAGAUGAUCAAACUCUUCUCUUAUAGCAAUCAUUUUCCUCCAAACAUGUAAUGCUCCAAUUUCUUUAGUCAGUAAAGGAUGAAAUUUUUUACAGUAUUUAUUCCUCAUAAAUGAACUCCACAUAGAAGAUGUGGAAGUUAUAAAAUUCCACCACAGUUUUGCAAAAAGUGUCUUGGACAUAUCAUGUAAAGAUCUAAAAUCCAAACCCCCCUCAUUUUUUGGAUAACACAUUAGAUCCCAAGACACCAAUGCUUAUUUUUUGAUCCAGUAGCAUUACCCCAAAAAAAAUUUGGCAAAUAUCUUGUGUAGUUGAUUAAUUACACUCACAGGAUGGUUCAUAGCGGAUAAAAUAUAUAUGGGCAUAGACUGCAACACAUGUGCAAUAAAAGUGUACCUUCCCCCAUAAGACAGAAGUCUAUUUUGUCAAGAAUUUAACCUCUUCAUCAACUCCUCAUAAUGUGUCUUAUUCUUUCUACCAUAGAAAAUAGGAGAACCCAAGUAAGUGAAAGGAAACUUACCUUGGUUUAUCUUAGUUAUUCUCUUUAUAUUGUUGGCCACAUUUAUUGGAGUCUUAUCAUGCAAAUAAAAGAAGCUUUUAUCAAGAUUAAUUAUUUGACCCGAGGUAAAUUCAUAUCUUCUCAAAACUAUCAUCAUUAUCUUUAUUGAUGCUGCAUGUCUAGAGCAAAAAAGAAUAGUGUCAUCUGCAUAUGAUAAAUGGUUAAUAUCAGGACUCCACUUAGGCAUUCCAUAUCCUCUAAAAUCUGGAUCCUCAAACAAGCCAUUUAGACUUUCUUGCUAACACUUCGGCUGAAAUAAUAAACAAGGUAGGUGAUAGAGGAUCCCCUUGCUUUAACCCUCUUGAGUACUGAAGAAACCUUAAGAGUGGCCAUUCAAAAGCAUUGAAUACCAAUUAUUACUAAUCAGUCUGACUACCAUGUCAAUUAUCCUUUCAGAAAACCAAAUUUUCUCAAUAUCUCCACCAAGCACUUCCAGGAAACUCUAUCAUAAGCCUUUGUCAUAUCCAACUUUACAAUCACUUGAGUAGUUUAUUCCUUCUAUUUAUAUCUCUAAUAAUCUCUUAAGAUAGCAAAACAUUUUCCAUUAUGCUUCUCCCCUUAACAAAAUCAGCCUGAUUACUAGAAAUAUUAUUAGGAAGCACCUCCAAAAUUCUCAUAUGAAUCAAUUUGGAUAUGAUUUUAUUAACAAAAGGGCUAAGACUGAUAGGUCUGAGAUCACCAAAAGUACUCACUACUUCUUUCUUCAGAAUCAGAACAAGAUUAGUGUGAGUGAUGUACCUUGGUAAAUCACUUUCACAAAAGAAUGCCUCAACUAUAUUUGUAAUAUCCCCGCCCCCGCCCCCCCACUAUAUUCCAGCAAGACUAAAAAAAAUAACCUGAAAAACCAUCUGGUCCCCUGCACUUUCCCCAUUUAAAGAAAAAACAACCUUCUUGACUUCCUCUAUGUCUGGUAAGCUUCCAUUCUAUUGUUUUGCUCCUCAGUAAUACUUUUGUUAAUACACCCUAGCAUCUCAUAAUUAUUAGGCACUUGGUUCUCUUUAAAUUGCUCCAUGAAGACCUGCACUGCCUCAUCCCCAAUGUUCUGUGGUGAUGUGAUAACAUCCCCCUAUCUUGUUUGGAUUUUUGUAACUUCCAGCCUUCUUCUUCUACCUUUCACAUAAGAAUGAAAGAAUUUAGUAUUUCUGUCUCCAUCAGUAAAUCACUUCAUCUCUGCCUUUUGUUUCCAAAACUCUUCCUCUAUUUUCCUCAAUCUUUUUAAAUCUUUCUCUGCUUUACUCAACUCCUCUCUAUUUUCUGCAGUUCGUUGUAUCUCAAACUGUGUUUCCUUUGCUUUUAUUACAUUUUCCAAAGUUGCUACUUUUUGGAAAAUAUCCCCAAAAGUCUCCCUACUCCAGACAACAAGUACUAAUUUCAUCAUUUUCAAUUUCUCAUGCACUAUUUGAAAAGGUGACCCUUGAAAAUUUUCACUCUAAUUUGUUGCACUAUUCCAUGAAAAUCUUUAUGCGUGGUCCACAAGUUCAAGAACCUAAAUGAUUUUUUGACAUGUACCUGUACAGUAUUUUAAUGACAUAAAGUGGUUCAUGAUCAGAACCUUUCCUGAUAAGAUGAUUCACUUCACAAUUAGGCAUAGCCUGGAAAAGUUCAUAAUUACCAAACACCCUGUCUAGCCUCUUAAAAAUGCAAUCCUCUUGAAUUCUUUCAUUCCACCAAGUGAAUCUGCUACCUAUAAAUCUUAAUUUGUUCAAUGCAUAAUUAUUCAUACAUUGAGCAAAAUCAAGAGUCUCCUGCUGAGAGACCUCCAAGUUUUUCAGAAUCAUCCAAAAUAACAUUAAAAUCACCCCCAACAAGCCAUGAAAUACUAGUAUUAGAGGCAACUUGCUCCAAAUCUUCCCACAGCUCUAAUCUCUCUAAGUGACUGCAUCUCGCAUACACUGCAAUUACUUUAAAGGAAUUAGUUGCUCCUCUAAGCUUAUACUCCAUUGUUAAAUAUUGUGUAGAAUUUGUGGUACCACUUUCUUCACAAUCAUCAUCCUAGAAGAUCCAAAUCUUAUCAGAAUAAUUUACUUUAGCAUGUUUAAGCCCUAGCCUUAUUCUGUAAUUCAACUCUGAUGGACUUUGAAAAGGUUCAAAUAAUACAAUGUAAGAAUAAUGGUGUUUCUUAUGAAGAUCAAUUAAUUUCUCAAAUGAACUUUGAGUUUUAACAGACCUAAUAUUCCAAAAUAUCACCUUAUUAAUCAUUAAUUACUAUUAGAUAUGAGACCCAACUUACUCCUUGUAUUGAUUUGUGAGUUGUUACCAGUUUUCUUGUAAUCUUUUCUGUUCUUACCUUUCAACUGACUAAUUUGUCUUGGAGAUAAAUCUUCAUCCCUACCUAUUUGGUCAAUGUUAGCAUCCAUAUCUGCAUCUUCUUCAUGAUCUUGUUUCUGUUGUUCUUCUUCUGUGUUAGACUAUAAAUUUUAGGAACCUCAGUUUCAAACUCUGCUAUGAUCUGCAAUUCAUUGUCUUCCACCUCUAUAUCAUGAUCUUUACAAUCCACAUCAGCAAUCUCUUUUGCAUCUUGAAUUCUAGUUGAAUCACCUAUCCCUUAUUUAACAUUGUCUUUUUCCUGAUCUCUAACCGAGCUUUGUGACUCUUCUUGUAUCUGUCCUUUUUCACCAUCCUCAUUGGUAGUGCGUUGUUCUACCUGAGUGUUAAGUUUUUUGUCAUUUUUUUGGUCAUUCUGGUCUAUUGAUAUCUCUGUCAUCAUCAACAUCUUUCUCCUUCAAAGCAUCAAAUUUACUAUUUACUGAAACAUCCACUUCUUUCUAAGUGUUUUCUUUCUGGUUUUAUCUUCUUUCUUGCCUCCUUCCAUUGUUCCAUCUUCUUUUCACUUAUUUUCUCUUUUGUUUAUGAAGUUCUUGUGUUUUUGUGUCAUUGCCUUUACUGUUGUCUGCCACAUUUUUCUUAUUCUUCUAUAACCCUUUUGUGAUUUCAUAGUAUCUUGUUCUUCCCCUUCCUCCUUGUCCUCCUUUGGAUAUAAUUCAGGACGAAUGACAAAAUAUUCGUUCUCAGUACGUCCUUGUAGUUUGCAUUCCUUACAUUACUUAGACACAUAAUCAUAUUUGAUAUGAAUCCACUUCUCUACAACUUCUCAUGUCUUUUUUUUCAUCCCAAUAUUAAUCCUUUUGGGAAAUUCUCCUAGCAGAUCAACUUCCACCUUCACUCCUGUACAACUUGAUCUAAUCUUGUUCUGUGUAGCUAGAUCUACCUGUAAAGGCUUCUCAACAGCAGCUGCCAGAGAGAAGACUGCUUUUCUUGCAAAAAAAAUCAGUGUAGAGAUGGAAAUGAUAUCCAUGCCACUACAGUAGUGGUUUCUUCCUCAGGGUUGAACAUUGGAUCCCAUUUUAAGGUUCGCAUCGGAUAUGACUAAUAAUUCUUUGUAAUAUAGAAUUAAGGUUUGGAUAAGAGGUGUACAUAAUCCUCAAUCUUCGUUACUCUUAUUAACACAUGUUGAUUACUCAAUAGAACAAUAUUGACUUCUUCCUCCAGCUCACGUUGCUUUGGGAUUAAGCGUCGUAGAUCUUGUAUAUCAGGCCAGCCAUAGGAGAAUUU